GCUGCAGCUAUGAAGCCGUUCGCUACCCGCCGUCACACCCACGGUCACACCGCCUAGCAGCUAGUCCUCAUUACCGUACACCUGGCCAAGCUGCAUGAAUCAAUGCAGCCAGCGCUUUGCACAAGACAAUAUCGGCUGACACAAGCAGGUCAAAGCAAUCUAAUAGUGAAACGGUAGCCAACGAGCCAAAGACGCUUGGUUCAGCGACGCCGCGUCAGGCAUUUGCCCGCCUAGUCAGUUGUGUGUUGUGUUCACCUGCGUGCCGGUCUGUCAACCGCCCACCGCCCGUAUUCAACACUAGCAGACUAAAGCCUAAAGCCGAAGCGUCUAAAAGAUACAGAUCAAUCCAUGUACAGGGUCCUAAAUGUCCAAAAACACCCGAAAGAGAAGCCAAUGCACGAGUUGUGUGAAAGAGCAAUGCUAGGCAGACAGCGUUCGACCCAAACCACGUCUAGUGAUGACACGCACGCUCACGGGCACGCAGAGUGCCUCCCCUCGCAGUAGCAGUAUGAAUAUCUGCAGCGCAUGUAUAAUGAAUUAGUUUGUACGCCCUAUGAAAGAACUUCCACGCCCUAGGCCGCUUGCUCCAUCCUAAGCGGUAGGUAGUGUUCCAGUCCUGCCGCUGACGCGCACUCGGAGCUAGCUGCGGCACUCCUGGGGCUGUCUCGGCGCGCAAGCACACAAGCAAACGCACACACUGAUGCCGGCCGCACGCCGGCCUGGCGCGGCACGAUAGCUAGUAAGCGAGCUAGCGAGCAAGCCCUACUCUCCUUGGCAGCAUACGCUGCAGCCCUGCCAAUGAAACCAUCUCAGGUUUGCCCUCUCUCGAACCUCUCAACAGCCCUGCCCGACAGCCUAUGGGCGCCCUUGGCGCGAAAACGCAAGCCACCAAUACCAAGCCCGCUAGCAGCACGUAGCAUGUAGCGUCAUCAGUAGCCGCACACAACGACCUCCUCCCAGAUCGCGGCCAGCCGCUGGACCACCUGCUCCGCAGUGGGCCGCUCCUGCGGAUCCCACGCCACGCAGUCGAGCAGCAGCAGCUCCAGUGACAGGGGCAGGUAGGAAGGGAAGAUGCCGGCCGGGAAGGCACGGGCAGCAGCCGGCGCGUCGCCGGCCGGCCACCAGCUCUGCUGCGCAAACCAGUCGGCCGCGGCGCUGUUGCUGCCGGUCACAGCCACGCACAGGGCCGUGAUGCCGAACGAGUACACGUCCACAGCGGCCGUCAAUGGCACGUUGCUCUGCACCUCGGGUGCCAUGUAGUGGCGGGUGCCGCAGGCCAUCUCGAAGAAGAAGGUGCCAGUGGGGUCGGCGGGGCUCAGCUGCUCAGCCAGACCAAAGUCAGCCAGGCAGUAGGUGUCGUCAGCGCGGUGGAGCAUGUUGGCAGGCUUGACGUCUGUAGGGGAUGAGAGGGCAAGGGCCAGCGAGUCAAGCGAAGCGCGUAAGAGGUCAUGGUGGUUGGAUGGGGGCGCAAGUAAAGGAGCAGAGAGUGCGCGGCGUGGCGCUAAGUGCAUGCAUGCGUCUUCCAUCUCACCAAUCCCCGCCGUCGUAUCCUGGGACACGCACCACACCCUCAUCAGCGGCAGCAGCCCCGCCCCUCCGCAUCUGGCUGGCUGGCCCGCUCACCGUUGUGCACGAGUCCCACGCGGUGCAUGGCCUUGAUCGCGGCCGCCAGAGACACCAGGAUGGCCAGCACCUGCUUCAGCGGCAGCAGCGCCACGUCCUCCCACACGUCGCGGCAGCGGGGAGCACUGGCAGUGCCAGGCACUGGGAAGCCCGGCGGAGCACGGGCCACACGCACAGACGGCAGAAGCGGGUCUUCAGCAGCAGAAGUAGCAGCCGAGGCCGGCGCCGACGCAGGCACGGGCGGCGAGGCCAGUAGUGGUGCGAAGCCAGGCGGUGGCAGCGGGGGGCGAGGGGCCGCCGGCAGUGCGUGAAAGCCCGGCGGCGGCGGGCACGGGCGAGGGCUGGCCGCCAGCAGGGGCUCAAAGCCGGGCGGCGGCGGCGGCGGCCGAGGGGCCGGCAGGACGCCAGAGCCCGGCGGCGCCGCCGGCCGCGCCCUGGUGACGUUGUCAGGCAUGCUGGCGACGUCGGUGUUGGCGGCGGCGGCUGCAUCUGCCUGCUGCUGUGUGGCCUCCAUCUGAGCCCAGAUCUCGUCGCGCUUUUCAGUGGCAUCCUCCUGUGCAAUGCAGAGCAUACCGUAUAGGAGUGAGGGGCCAGGUUUUGGGCAUGACAGCUUAGGCUUGUGUGUAGCCAACGCUCAAGCAAGCGUGCACGCUACGCACGCACACACACACAGGCCCGCCCACACAGGCCCCUCUGGGCGGGCUUUCGUUUCGCUUUUUAACACACAGGCCCGCACACGCGCACGGCUCACCAGUACGGAAGCCACGCAGCCCUUUGCCAGCUCCAUCACCAUCAUGGGCAGCUGCCCGGGCCGGCCGCCGUGGCACAGCAGCCGCACAAACGGGCUCCGCUCAGCCGCCGCCAGCAGCGGCAACGGCUGUUCAGGCGAGGAGGAAGAAGAGGAGGAGGAAGAGGCGGUGGCGCAGGCCUGCUGCAGCUGCAUCGCCGCGCCGACCUCCCUGUUCAGCUGCUCCUUGGCCUUGGUGAGUCCGCCCAGGAACAGCUUGGCGGCGACGGGCCGUGUGGUGCCGUCGGGCCGCUGCAACAGCCCCACGUGCACGAGGCCGUAGCCGCCGCGGCCGAUCUUGCCCUCGGACCGCCAGCACUGGAGGCCGUGACGCUCCUCGAACGCGUCCAGCUGAGGGAUAAGGGGAACAGGAGGAAGCAAGGAAGGGGGUUAUUAUAUUCGAGAUUAUUAAGAAGGAGGGAUUGGCGCCGGGCGUUACGAGGGCGGCGUGGGAAGCAAUGCAAGUGGACAGCGAGGAGACAGCUAGCCGGCAGGCGACACGCGCGCACACAGUGUCAUGGCUUCCAUGGAUGCACCCAACCAAACACCCCAGUUCAGGCGCAGGACGCACGGCAAACUACCGUGUGCGUACGUGUGCUCCAUGCUGCCCUCUGCUGCCACCCACUACACCCACCCACCAGCACGAGACACCCGCUCACCAGCAGCUUGCGGAAAUCCUCCACGACGCUCUUGGAGAAGCGGCGAAAGGAGCCGUCCUCGAACGUCACCACCAGCCGCACCUCCCCCUGCAUGUAGCUGCUGACGUCGUCGUUCUCAUCGCCGCCACUCGAGGACUCGGCCUGGACCUCGCCGCAGCAGGUGGCCGCGGGCGCGUCCUCGCUCGCCGGGCAGGAGGCGGAGGGAGCAGGGGCAACGACGGGGCCGGCGGGCACGAGGGCCUUGGAGGUGGAGGCGGAGGUGGGGUUGGAGGGGGAGGCGGAGGGGACGGCGCUGCCAUCGGUCGUGCAGUCGUCGCCCGAGCUUGACACGGGCGGCGUGGGAGACUCCUUCAUGGCCUCGAGGACGGGGGCGGGGCUAGCUGCAGCCAACGUGGCGCGCGGGUCCCAAAGUGGACGCCGAACGACCUGAGAGAGAGGUGGAAAGGGCGCGUGUGGUGGGGGAGCGGAUAGGACGAGUGCGCGCGUUCGUUGAGCAGGAGCCUCAAGAAUGCCGAUACGUGGUUGGAUGAAAGAGCCCCAGGCGAGAGGUCUAAGAGAGCGCGCGAGCAACAAUCAAGCUGAACAAACCAAAGACUGUCGUAAAGCCUACUGCGCAUGCCAUUAGUGGAAGUUUGGCUUUGACCAUUGCCGGGCCAGCGUUCCGGCCAGGCGGUGCACAAAGGAAACGCCAGUAGCGCUGAAUUGGUGGUUGUGCCCGCCAACGUGUACCCGUCGCUUUUGCAGAAUGCUCACCUUCUGUCCAUUGCAAGGGAAGCAUGGCGAGCGGAUGUCGCUAGCAGUAGCCUUGCACAGGCGAGGCACGCCGAGGGCCUCAGGCAGAGCAUUGAGCAUGCAGCUCAAGUCCUCUCUCAAGUCUCCGCCCGUCAGCGCCUUGAAGACGCAUCCAGCCAGAAACGCGAGCAUAGAAGCACACGUUUGAGCAAAGGAAAGAAAUAGCGACAAGUCAACAGAAGUGCGCCGAGUAAUCGGUGCAGUCUUUUCGCUCGCUAUGUGCGUUUAGAUGUCACGAGCUAGCAGUGCAUGCUUUGAGAAGCUGAGAUAGCGUAGAAGUAAGGAAAUGCCGCAUGUUGACCGCAUUUUGUCCAGCCCCGCGACCUCGCGACCGGAUGGCAGUACGACCGCGCACAGCUGAAGCCGCCGUGAACAACAGGUCCCUCGCCACACCGUGCGUGUCCAGUUUGCGAUUGAAUGCAUCAUGUAAUACUCUAGAUGUAUUACUCGCAGCAAACGUUGCAUAAAAGAAAUGCGCGUGUCAGGACGACUGGAGUGAGACGGAAGGUGCACAGCCAUGACUGUUACACCCCGUCAGCUUGUCGCUAACGGCCGCGCCCCGGCAGGUGCAGUGUGCUGGCCCGCAGCUAGUAGACGCAUGCUUUGACAGCGGGUGCAUGUCUCAGAGACUCAGAGCCGCACGCGGGGCCUUAGGUGCUGACUCUGCUGAGAGUGGAAGGGAGUGCAUGCGCGCAGCCAGCAGCGGUCGGGUUCGCAGAGGUCCGCUCAGGGUCACCCCUGGGUCCGCUGUGGUUGGAACGUGUAGUUCGACGCCACAUCCGUACAUAACGCUGGACUGGCCACCGACAAAUGCUCUUUCUCCUUUUACCAACGCCACUGCGACAUCUGCACUCUGCAGACGCGGGCACACAUAGCCUGCUGCUUGAAGCCAUACUUCACUGAACACAUCAGGGAAGCAAACAUAACACCUCCCCACCUGCGCAAUCAUGCCCACCCAGUCCCACCCCGCCUCUGUAAACUCAGUAACUUCAGAAUCCCCGAACUCAAACCAAUCCCACAUACACGUUCCCACAGGCCACUCUUAUACCUUCGGCCGAUCGGAAGCUAGCAGGUAGCGGCCUCCUUUCAACUGUUCCAACAAGAGUAUGCGAUACAAUACGGUACUCACGCUAUACCAGUAUGACUUACGGUUCGCCACCAGAGUUCGUACUUGCCGCCAACGCGUGCCAGUUCUUAUCCGAGUCACCUGCCUGUGCCUAGUGCCCCUGCCCACGGCAUUGCAGCAGCGCGACCGUACCAUAGCAGCACGACCAGUGCGCCCGCACCAUGCACUGCUCUGAGGUCGUGGCGUUCAUUCCCCUCGCCUGCCCUUGCGCCCUUCCAUUACGGUACUUCAUGGCAUGCAGCUGCGCCCAUGUCGACAGCCGCAACAACGCCAUACGUCUGUCCCCAUCACCUAUCCGUCACCUGCUCCCCUGCAUCAAGCCUGGCAUGGCUCCCCCUCGCUUCCGUCUCCCAUUCCCUGCACCCUCCACCGGGCCCAACCUCCAUCCCAGCCGCCACAGCCAAUGCCCUCUUCUCGACCCAUUGUAAUCCGCAUCCAUAUGCUGCGUUGGCUGGCGCAGUUCGUUUACUCGGGAGGACUCGGCGGGGCGUCUUCCGCUGCACGCCUGCACCCUUCCCCUUGCACCCUUGCCCCUUGCAUGGCUCUUGUACAUCAUGUUUGCAUCCGAGUCGCUGGCGGCGACACCACAAACCCCACACAUCUGCCCCCACCGAUGACUGCCUAGCACCUCAUCCGGCCGCUAUAGCCACCCACCUCGCUUCCAUGUCCUGCACCCGCGCUCCCUCCACCCACCACCGAGCCCCACCUCCAAGGCUCCAGCUCAUGCCCACUCAAGGCCACACGCACGCAUGCAGGUAAGAAGCAUGCUGAGAUGCACAAGCCCGCGAGGCCCGGCCCACGUACACCGUGCAUGCAUGCUCUGCAGUAUAUGCACCAGUAGGCAGGCCCCGAGGACAAAGAGACGUGUUACUGGAUGCUGCCCAUAGUUGUUACAAGUGCAUGCACGCACGCCGAUGCAUGAAGCUAUGGCCCCACCGGCCUUGAUUAGGAAAGAAGUCAUCUUUUAAUGUCAAUCCGUGCGUAUGCUUCACUGGGCUCCAGCCCUGCCCCGUCUCAUCCUCUCAUCCAGUGUCCUUACCCAGGGGUGAUGACCUGCAAUGCACAGGCCGUGCCCCUUCAUCCCGUGUGCCAGUCCUGUGCCCAUCCCUACUCGUCCUAGUCACGAGGCCUAACUAGCCGUGCACACGCUCCAGCCCCCGCCGCACCGUCAGCCGCUGCAGCUAUGAAGCCGUUCGCUACCCGCCGUCACACCCACGGUCACACCGCCUAGCAGCUAGUCCUCAUUACCGUACAUCUGGCCAAGCUGCCUGAAUCAAUGCAGCCAGCGCUUUACACAAGACAGUAUCGGCUGACACAAGCAGGUCAAAGCAAUCUAAUAGUGAAACGGUAGCCAACGAGCCAAAGACGCUUGGUUCAGCGACGCCGCGUCAGGCAUUUGCCCGCCUAGUCAGUUGUGUGUUGGCGUGCCGGUCUGUCAACCGCCUACCGCCCGUAUUCAUCACUAGCAGACUAAAGCCUAAAGCCGCAGCGUCUAAAAG
rnacentral:lncRNA from 1 species